AGCGAACGCUGGCGGCAGGCCUAACACAUGCAAGUCGAACGAACUCUUCGGAGUUAGUGGCGGACGGGUGAGUAACACGUGGGAACGUGCCUUUAGGUUCGGAGUAACUCAGGGAAACUUGUGCUAAUACCGAAUGUGCCCUUCGGGGGAAAGAUUUAUCGCCUUUAGAGCGGCCCGCGUCUGAUUAGCUAGUUGGUGAGGUAACGGCUCACCAAGGCGACGAUCAGUAGCUGGUCUGAGAGGAUGGCCAGCCACACUGGGACUGAGACACGGCCCAGACUCCUACGGGAGGCAGCAGUGGGGAAUCUUGCGCAAUGGGCGAAAGCCUGACGCAGCCACGCCGCGUGAAUGAUGAAGGUCUUAGGAUUGUAAAAUUCUUUCACCAGGGACGAUAAUGACGGUACCCGGAGAAGAAGCCCCGGCUAACUUCGUGCCAGCCGCCGCCGUAA
rnacentral:rRNA from 1 species